GACGAACGCUGGCGGCGUGCUUAACACAUGCAAGUCGAGCGGUAAGGCCCAGCGUGCUGGGUACACGAGCGGCGAACGGGUGAGUAACACGUGGGUGACCUGCCCUCAGCUCUGGGAUAAGCCUGGGAAACUGGGUCUAAUACUGGAUGUUCACUUUCUGCUGCAUGGUGGGGGUGGAAAGUUUUUCGGCUGGGGAUGGGCCCGCGGCCUAUCAGCUUGUUGGUGGGGUGAUGGCCUACCAAGGCGA
rnacentral:rRNA from 1 species